rnacentral:rRNA from 1 species
CGCGUAGGCGGGCUCGCAAGUCCGGGGUGAAAGCCCCCAGCUCAACUGGGAAGCGCCUUGGAUACUUCGGGCCUGGAGGGAGGUAGGGGCGUGCGGAACUUCCGGUGGAGCGGUGAAAUGCGUAGAUAUCGGAAGGAACACCGGUGGCGAAAGCGGCGCGCUGGACCUCUUCUGACGCUGAGGCGCGAAAGCCAGGGGAGCAAAACG